rnacentral:rRNA from 1 species
CCUACGGGAGGCAGCAGUAGGGAAUAUUGCUCAAUGGGGGAAACCCUGAAGCAGCAACGCCGCGUGGAGGAUGAAGGUUUUAGGAGUGUAAACUCCUUUUGUUAGAGAAGAGGAGGACGGUAUCUAACGAAUAAGCACCGGCUAACUCCGGGCCAGCAGCCGCGGUAAUACGGAGGGUGCAAGCGUUACUCGGAAUCACUGGGCGUAAAGAGUGCGUAGGCGGGGUACGAAGUCAGAUGUGAAAUCCUGUAGCUGAACUACAGAACUGCAUUUGAAACUGUUACUCUGGAGUGUGGGAGAGGUCGGUGGAAUUCUUUGUGUCGGGGUCCCCUCCGU